rnacentral:lncRNA from 1 species
UUCUAGUCUACCCUCCAUCUAGCCAUCACUCACCUAGUUGGCCAAGCUCUUCACCAAGUAGGAAGCCCGAGUGAGACAACACUCCGAUUACCAUACGUCAGGCAAGAGCUCUCAGUUGCUUUCUAGGCUACAGUCGUGGCCUGCCACAUGGACACAGUGCCUCAACCUUCAACUGCCAAGUAGAAAGCCCCCUGUCACAGAGCCACAGAUCUCUGCCGCCAUGGUGCUCAAGCCCUGUCAGGUGAUACAGCGGGUGGACAGCAGGCUGAUGCUGUUUCAAAGAGGCCGACCAGGCAAGAAACGUCCUGUACUCCUGCCUCAGCCCUAACGCAAUAAAACGUCUUUUAUCAAUGUAA